rnacentral:rRNA from 1 species
GCAGGCCUACGGGGCGCAGCAGUAGGGAAUUUUCGUCAAUGGGCGCAAGCCUGAACGAGCAAUGCCGCGUGAACGAGGAAGGUCUUCGGAUCGUAAAGUUCUGUUGAAGGGGAAAAAGAGCGGAGAGAGGAAAUGGUCUCCGAUUGAUAUUACCCUUCGAGGAAGUCACGGCUAACUACGUGCCAGCAGCCGCGGUAAUACGUAGGUGGCGAGCGUUAUCCGGAAUGAUUGGGCGUAAAGGGUGCGUAGGCGGCCUGCUAAGUCUCGAGUGAACGUUACCGGCUCAACCG